rnacentral:misc_RNA from 1 species
AACGCAUAUUGCACUCUUUGGUAAUCCGGAGAGUAUGCCUGUUUGAGGGUCAGUAAAUAAUAAUUAUCAUGAAUCUUUGAUUUAUGGAAUUGGGCUUUUAUUUCGAUAGAUCUAUGGCCUUAAAUUUACGUUAUGGGCUUGUCAUAUAAAAUCCAAUCUAAAGGAGCAAUUAAACAUUCUCUCAUUAGCGCGGAUUUUUACAAGCUGUUAUGAUCUUUGGUUGCUUUCAGCAUUUUUAUGAGUGCGAAACCAAGAUCGUAAGUUUACUCUAACAAUGACCUCAAAUCAGGCAAGAAUACCCGCUGAACUUAA